UCGCUAUAGAAUUCAAUUCUGUACCUGC
rnacentral:sRNA from 1 species